rnacentral:rRNA from 1 species
AGUGAACGCUGGCGGUAGGCCUAACACAUGCAAGUCGAACGGCAGCACAGUAAGAGCUUGCUCUUACGGGUGGCGAGUGGCGGACGGGUGAGGAAUACAUCGGAAUCUACUUUUUCGCGGGGGAUAACGUAGGGAAACUUACGCUAAUACCGCAUACGACCUACGGGUGAAAGCAGGGGAUCUUCAGACCUUGCGCGAUUGAAUGAGCCGAUGUCGGAUUAGCUAGUUGGCGGGGUAAAGGCCCACCAAGGCGACGAUCCGUAGCUGGUCUGAGAGGAUGAUCAGCCACACUGGAACUGAGACACGGUCCAGACUCCUACGGGAGGCAGCAGUGGGGAAUAUUGGACAAUGGGCGCAAGCCUGAUCCAGCCAUACCGCGUGGGUGAAGAAGGCCUUCGGGUUGUAAAGCCCUUUUGUUGGGAAAGAAAAGCAGCAGGUUAAUACCCCGCUGUUCUGACGGUACCCAAAGAAUAAGCACCGGCUAACUUCGUG